UACAGAGGUGCCAAGCGUUGUUCGGAUUUAUUGGGCGUAAAGGGUGCGUAGGCGGUUAUGUAAGUCGGGUGUGAAAUUUCGGAGCCUAACUCCGAAACUGCAUUCGAAACUGCAUAGCUCGAGGUCUGGAGAGGUAAUUGGAAUUCUAGGUGUAGCAGUGAAAUGCGUAGAUAUCUAGAGGAACACCAGAGGCGAAAGCGGGUUGCUGGGCCGACACUGACGCUGACAGCGCGAAAGCUAGGGGAGCGAACGGG
rnacentral:rRNA from 1 species